UUUUUUUUUUUUUUGAGUUGUUCUAGAAUCAAACUCGGGUCUGACUGAGUCAUUUUCCCAACCUCCCUUUCUUUUUCUUUUAAUUUCUUUUGUGGCACUACAAAUUAAACUUAGGGCCUGACACAUGCUAGGCAAACACUCUACCACUGAGCUAUUUUCCCCCACCCCUAUUUCUGAAAGCUAGUCUUGAAAUGGAGGUGUAGAGGGUGAUGUGGAGCACCAGGUCUUAUUUGGAGAGCAGUAAAGUCUGGUGGUGCUGGCACUGAUGUGGUUAGGAUGGGAUGGAUGACUGUGGGGGAUGCCCCUGGAAUACCCAGUGAAGGUUUAAGAAGAUGCUGAAGCAGCUUGCAGAGAGCAAGAAGAGAAAGAGGAAGUAAGUAGGGGAAAGUUUUAGUUCAACAAGAUCGUGGGUGGGGACAGGACUCUUGAGAUCAGCCUAGCCAGUCCACAGGACAAAGUGAAGUGCUGGACCCUGGGGGCAGUGACUCUGUGAAUGUCACAAGCCAUGGAGACAGCAGAGGUUAGCACACAGGCAGGGAGAAAUGAAUUUUUGGGUACACCCUUUUUGACGAGAUGGAAACAAGGCAACUUUUAUGGUCCCUUUGCAAGGAAAACCACAAAUCUCCAAGAAAUAUGGAAUCAGAAUGGUUAUAGUCAUUGGUAAGGUAUGUUCUCUCGCUGGCUGAGACCAUUAAUCACAUCUGGCACAAAUGUAACAGUUUCCCAGUUACACAAGAUGGGGAACAACAAACCCAUACUAGUUUUGUCAUUCUAACAUAAAAGCAAUUUGGAAGACAGUGGGAAAGGGACCAUCAGUGUAAGACAGGGGAAAGUGAUACAGGGAGGCAUCUAACACCUGCUGGGGGCUUGGAGGGAGGAGGGAAAGCUCCACCAUCUUAACUCAGUGCCGUCAAACCAUGCAGCACAGAACACCAUGGAGUCUGGUGGUCUCUGGCAAGGGGUAGGGAAGUCCAAGAAGAAAAUCUGUAAUUAUUCUUGUGGUUAACAGUCAUGGGCUGAUAAUUUUGGAAGUAUGGUGACUCUUCAAUAAGAUCUUGAAUGAAGACAGAUGAGAAGUAUGAUUCUUCCUCAGUAAGUAUGACGCUUCUUCAAUAAAAGCAUGGAUGGAGAUAGGUGAUCUGGACAUGGGAAAAUUAACUAAAACUAUAAUAAUAAUCUCAAACAGUGGAAUGCUUAUGCAACCUUAGACACUGUGUGAAAAGCAUUGUGGAGAUCCAUAUAAAGUUCAUAUGCUGCUAUUAUUUUGCUUGUAUCUAGAGGUUGUGUUUUUACCUGAAGAACAGAUUCAAUAUGUGUUGCAAAGUCUAUCUGAGGCUUACUGAAUCCAUCAAGCUAGGAGUAAAUAAUAUUUAUAUUGUAUGUGUGUGUCAGGAUAUUUGCCUGCCCUGGGGACAUAGCCUUGAUAAGUCUGAGGGAAGACUAGGCAAUUGCCUAGCUCCCAUUGGCCAAGGUAACUUCUGAUUAGGGUUCAGGCUUUCAAUCAUCAUUUUUUUCAGUCUUCUAUUUUGUACCAGUUCAGGUAUUUGUAAGUUUGUUAAAAAUUUAUUGAACCGGGAGCUGCAAAGAUAGCUCAGUGGUGAAGAGAACUUGCAGAAUUGAACACUGUAGAUUCAAUUCCUGGCACCCACAAGGUGGCUCACAAUCAUCUGUAACUCCAGUUUCAGGGGUUCUGACACCCUUUUUUGAUCUCCAUGGGCAUUAGGUGUUCAUGAGAUACACACACAUACAUGCAGGCAAAGCAUUCACACAUAUAAAGAUUUAUUUUAUUGAAUACUUACUAGGUGUGCAGAACUCACUAGAUAUACUCUGUCCUCUUGGCAUUUAUAAUAGAGUGAGGGGAAGCUUGUAAAGGAUGUUUGUCUAAGACUUCACAUGAUCCACUCUUCUGACUGGUCUAUAUUUAGGAACGAUUGUCCUGUGACCCAGGAAACCUCUCAGUCCUAAACAAACUGAUAAUGUCAACCACCUGCCCAAGACUUGACUAAGCAUGAGAUAUCUUUCCACUGAGGCAGCGAGCUAGGGGUCAUGGUGUGUGGUUUCUUGUAGCUCAUCAUUAAAGAAGAGUCAUACAUGUUACACCAUGUACUUGCUAAGAAUGUCUGUGUGCUGUACACAGAACGCCUUAGGAUACUGGACUCAGAGUUGACUGAUCUAAGACAACAGCCAAGUCUCUGCUACUGUCGGAGGACUGAGGAGGCUUGCUUUGUCCCCUCCCUCUCCUUGGAUUUUCAUUGUUGUUAUUGAAACAAUUUUAUAGAAUGUUUCAAAACUUAUGGGCUUGAGACAUAAAGAAAUUGUCAGAAGCUCUGGAAGAGAAAUAAAUAUGUCGGUAUUAGAUGGCAAUGUUAAUUUAUCAAUUCCCAGAAGCAUCUGGAGAAAAUGGGCAGGAAGGAAGUUGAACUUUAAGGCUCCUGUUUAGAACAGGUUUCCAGCAUUUCCCCCUGGGUAGUGGUUCACCGCACUAGAGUUUGAGGUCCAGGGCCCAAGUCUAAGGAUGUUAGCUAAGUUAUGGGUUGAUCUGUUAGGACAAGCAAUUGUGCUUACGCUGGGUGUGGCUAACUGCCACCGCAGGUAUUGGAGGCUGAGAAAAAGCACUACUUGGGAACAUCUCAAAACCAGAAGCCUUUAGGGUCCUCAAGGGAAAUAGCGCUUAAUAACUGCUGAGUUCUUUCUAAUAUGCUUUGGCUGGGUCUAAGGAAAACAGCAUGAGUUGCUAAACUUACCAGAAGGAAGAUAUUAUGGAGUGAAUGUAGAAAGUCUCCUAUGGGUUCAUGUAUUUGCUGUGGUUCCGGAUUGGUGGAGCUGUCUGGGGAGGGAGGGAACCUUUAGGAGGUAGGGCCUAGCCCAAGGAAGUGGAUCACUAGAGGCUUAGAGUCUGGCCUGGAUUCCUGCCCUGGCCCACCAAGAUGUGACCAAGUAGCCUUGUGUUUCUGCUGCUCUGAGCCUCCUUGCCGGGUAUAUUCCCCACCAUGCUGUAUCGCCUCACUGUGAGACCGCAUAAAUCUCUCCUCCUUCAAGUUUUUCCUUGCCAGGUGUUCGCUCACAUCAACAAGAAUGCUGGCUAAUACACAGUUUGUGAAAAGAUGUCUAUGUUUAUGCUGUGACUGGAGAUUUUGCCAUAGGAUGUGGCUUAGACUUUACGAAGUGGGCUCCUUCUCUUCAGAGCAGGUGUGGACGGGGCAGGUUUGAAUGGCAUCCCAUACGCCAAGUUCAGCCUGAGUCAGGCCAUCCUCCCCCAGCGUAUUUACAAUUCUACUGGUUUUCUUCUAGUUACAGCAUAUGGAUACCAAAGGGAAGGAAGCGGGUAUGGUUGCUGACCUCUGGCUGACAGGAGUAAAAGUGGCACCAAUACAAACCCUGCAAGAAGGUCAGGCUAAAUUUCUUGAGGACACAGAUGUAUCCAUUAUGCCACCACUGAAUAUGCCGUGUUUCCACUCCUGCCCAUAUCUCCAAGUCCUCUGAGGCAGCAAGACCUCUCUGCCUUCCACUUACUGAGGAGCCCAACCUUACUUUUUUUUUUCAUGGCAUGUUUGUAACUGCUAUCUGACUGUUGCCUGACUGCCAAGAUAUAACCUGAAUCUCUGCACUUCCCGGCCAUGGAAUCAAGAAGAACAGAGGAGAAUGGCGAGGCUUCCUCAAACCAUACUUGAUCACUUGCAGCUUGUAUGGAGAGUCUGACGACAAGGAAGCCAUCUGGUAGAGAGUGCUGAUGUCUCCUUGGGGGUCAUCUACUCUCAGCAUGCCAUCGGCUGUACCGGGAAGCAGGGAUGGGCUGAGAAAUCGCUCUUGGAGGUCACAUUUCAGACAUACUACUAUCAAAGGAGAGUCAGAGAAGAGGCCAGGUUACAAGUUACCUCAGGCUGUCACUGAGAGACAAGUUCACUUUCACUAGGCAGUCAAGGGCGAGGAGUAGGUAGGGGGCACAGGAAAAGAAGCCAGCUUGGCUUGAGGAGGUAGGGCAGUCCUGCCCCCUGUGUUCUAGCUAUUGCUCCCCAAGCUUUACUUCUCUGAGCCUGGCAUGGUUUGCCCUCGCUUUACGGCCAGGCUCACUGAGCACCUGUCUUAUAGCAAGAGGUCUGGUUUGCAUUCAGUUCAGGAGGGACACGUGUCCUUGCUGGAGCAGCUAAUGCUUGCUAGGUCUCAAAGCCGGGGUAAUAUGCAGAGGCCCUUGGGUAACCACAGAAGGAAAUCUUGCCUCUGCUGCUUCCCUGCGGCUUUGGCAAGCAUGCUGGUCAGAUGAAGGACAGGCAGGAAAACAGAAGUCGGUCAGCUGACUGCCACUGGUUUUUCUAUGCGCUCUUCUAGGGGGUGCUCAGGACUAUGGGAGGAACAAGUUCCUGAAAUAGCUUAUGUUUAAUGUCUGGAAGGAACCCGCAUAUUAGACCUCCAAGGCCUUGGAGCACAGCGGCAGCAUUAAACACCAGAGUGCACAGACUGGCACCGAGUUAUACUAUUCUCGGUGUCUGGCACUCUGCUCUAUUAAGGUUUUGGCUUUUUAAAAACAUUUCUAUAAUUUAUUUUUGUUUUGUGUUUAUUGGUGUUGAGUGUAUGUCUGUGUGAGGUGUCAGAAGCCCUGGAACUGGAGUUAUAGACAGGUGUGAGCUGCCAUGUGGGUGCUGGGAAUUGAACCUGGGUCCACUGGACGGGCAGCCAACGCUCUUAACUGCUGAGCCAUUUCUCCAGCCCCACCCCGUUUUGAGACAGGCUCUCCUGCAGCCCAGAUUGACCUCUGACUUGCCGUGUAGCUGAAGGUGACCUUGAACUUCUGCUCCCCUUGCCGCUAUCCCAUGAGCGCUGUGGUUUCAGGCCACUGGGAUUUAGGAUUGGGAAGCUUUGUCUAUCUGGAUGAAGUUCUCAUUGGUUGCAACAAGAAUCACCCUAAGAGACUCUGUUCCAGUUGUGCCUGACAUCUGGAUUCCAGCGAGGCCCUGGCUUGCAGAGGAGCUGAUCUAAGACAUGCACGCUGAAGCUCUGUGGGCUUCUGAAGCACGGCUACAGUUGGCGUAUACUCUGCCUCUGACCCCGGUGAUGACAGCUUUGGAGAGGCGACCUGGAGGGAAGCUGGAGAAAGUCUGAUCUGAGCCAAGUGCAGAUGCUGUGGAGCAGUAGAGGCAAAACAGACUUCAGCAGUUCCUGGACUUUGAGGGCUUCAGCUCCACUAGUGAGAGAAAGGGCUUUUUCCGCAUCCUGCAAACGCGAUCAUCAUAGCAGAGUGCUAUUACAGUAGGAGAAGAGACUUCAAACAUGCUGCUACCUGGGGCUGGAGAGACGGCUCAGCAGUUAAGAGGGCUGGCUCUCCUGCCGAGGACCUGGCUCACUUCCCAGCACCCACAUGGCAGCUCCCAGUUAACUGUCACUCCAGCUUCAGGGGAUCCAGUGCUGUCUCCUAGCCUCUGUGAGCACCGCAUGCACACAGUGCACAGACACACAUGCAGGUGAAACACGCAUAUUCAUUAAAGUGUGCUACAUAUAUGUGGAGUCUUCAGAGGUGGUACAAAGCACGUGUCAUGUCAGAGCCUGGGAAAAGGACUUUGGGAAGCUCGAUACUCAGUUCUCCUUUCAACCCUCGAGGGUCUCCAUAGUUGCCGCCAUUACCCUAUUCUGUGGAGAAAACGGGUACAAACAAACCUCCAACCCCAAACAACACUUUGGUGUCUUCCCUGAUGAGAUGGGUCCUCAGGAGUUGCCCUUUGUAAACUCAGUGCGGCUGACUAUACUGGUAAGUCCAUUUGGCCCCAGCCAUAGCAGUAGCUAGGCCCUUGUUGACAGGCCUGGAGCUGGCUAGCUGCCUGAACUGCUCCAUGAACAUGAUCUUGUGCUCAUGUGGUCCUCUCUGGGGCUUGUUUCUGAGUUGUUGUAGUUUUCUCAAUUUGGUGCCUCGCUAGUGAGAUUUUUAAGAGCUUUAUUUUUAGUUUAUGUGCACAGUUAUGUGUAUAGUUAAGUGUGUACGUACGUAUACUACAUGAGUGCAGUGGCUGAAGAAGGCAUCAGAUCCCCUGGAAGUGGAGUUGCAGGAGACUGUGAGCUGCCAUGUGGGUGCUGGGAACUGAUUCUAGGUACUGAGCCAUGUCUCCUGCCCCUGAGAAGAUUUUUAUUUACUGUUAUGAUUCUUAUCACAGGCAGUGUGGAUAUUAUAAAGGAAAAAGACUCUUGAAUCAUAGUACCAACAAUGCCUACCACAUUAAGAGUAAGAAUAUUGGGCACAGUGCAAAAUUCAGUGUAUCCUGCUAUGGUGUAGCCAAUGUCUUAUCAUUGAGGCAUCAAGGGCUUUGCUUCUGUAACUACUUGGCCCUUGCUGGCUGGGAUGGCCACUCCUUAUAGCUUUUCUCUUUAUAGCCAUGCUGUCACUAAACAUGUCACCGAAUCCUCCUACAACCCUUAGGCCUCAAUGAUCUGUAUUUUGAUGACUCACCAGAGUCAUCUAGACUUAUAAUCCUAGACAAGGAUAGACUUAGCCUACAGAACCUAUGUUUUCAGGGUUGUGUACUUGGAUUAUCCCCGGCUCGGGGAGAAGGAGGAAGGCUUUGUGGAGUAAGAAGAAGAUGGAUGUGUUCUCGGUCGGUUUCACUGUUAUGCAGCCAAGCUUUGAAGAAGACCUCCAUGCUCACAACAUCGUUGUCAAGGGUCUGAAGGACAAUGUCGGCAUCUAGGAUUGCACUCUCUGCAAAAGAAGGGAGGAUGAUGGUUAAGGCGCUUUUGUUUGUUUUGAGAAGGGUUAUUAUUCAUUUAGGAUCUUUUAGGGGAUGGGGGCAAGUCUGGGAAGAUGACUGACUGUAAGAGCCUGUACUGCUCUUGUAGAGGACCUGAGUCCAAUCGCUAGCACCUAUGUCAGGUGGGACACCACUGCCUGUAACUCCAGCUCCUGGGAUCUGAUGAUCUCUCUUCUAAACACCAAGGGUGUCUGUACUCACACAUGCACAUGCAUCAUUUAUAAUAAUAAGUAUUCACAGUGACUUAAAACUAGGUUUAUUUUAAUUAAAAAUGGUUUAUGUGUUGGGGCUGGUCAGAUGACUCAGCUGUCGAGAGCACUGUGCUUGAAGAGGAUCUGGGUUUGAUUCCCAGUCCACCUGGUGUCUCAAAACUGUCUGUAACUCAAGCCCCAAGGGAUCCAACACCCUUUUUGAACCUCAGCAGGCACCAGACAUGAAUGUGGUACACAUAUAUGCAAGCAGGCAAAAUACGCAUGUAAAAUAAUAAAAUAAAUCUAAAAAUGUUAAAAA